GAGCCCCGCCCGCGCCGUCCGGCGCAGCCUCGAUCCCGAGUACGGGGCUGUACGCUUACCGGGGUUGUCCGGCCUGGGUCAGGACGGAGCGGUGCCCCCACAUCCGGGUCCCUCUUCCGCUGACACCCCCCCCACAUCCGGGUCCUGCCCCUCCCCCCGGGGGGCCCCAGGACCCCGGCUCGGCACCCCGAGUUCUUGCACCGGGGACCCAGACACUGCGACCCCAAGGGGCACUACUUCAGCCCGAAGCACCGAUCCCUAACAGGCCUAUUGGUCAGGUGACCCCGCAGCCUCGGUCUCUCCAGGCCUCAGUUUCCCCACCUGCUGCUUGCAGUGGCGGUCUGGGUGCUGACGACGGUCCCGGCGUUUUGGAGCCUGUCCAGACUCGGGCCCUUUAGUGGGAUUCUCUGUACCUCAGACUCUCCUCACUUCUUGGUCACUCCCCCUGCGGAUCCAGGCCUCAGAUUUCCUUGGGGAAGGGAGAAGCUCUGAGCUGGAUUAUAAGGGACCCAGAAGGGAACCAGCAGGCUCUCACAGAGACUCUGGAGUCUGAACCUGGUUUCCAGUCUUAAAGUUAACAGCUGUGUAACUUAGGGCAAGUCACUUCCCUCUUCUGACCUCUGGUUUCCUCAUUAGUUGGGAAUAACACCGUCCACUGCAGAGGGCUGAUGUGAGGGGCUUAAGUGAGAUGAUGCAUUGCAGUGUUUAACAUAGGGCCAGGUGCAAAGUAGGAACUCAGUGCAUUUUAACUGCGGUCGUUGCUACUCGUUGGCCACCUCUUAGAGGCUUCCUACCAGGCUCUUUACGUAGAUACUCACUUAACCCGUUCUAGGCUGGGUCCUAGCUUCCAUUUCUGGGACCUCCCCUGUCAAGCCAGAUCGGCCCCAGGGCAGUGACGGGGGUUUCCUAACUAGCCCCUACUGGCCCAGAGACCACAGUCUGGCAGGUGUCAGGGUAGGACACCCAGCUUUUUCUCCUAAUGAUGGUGAUCCUUGGUAGGUUAUGUGCCUCCCUCUCUGUGCCUCAGUUUCCUUCUCUGUAAAGUGGAAAUUCAGACUCAGUCCUUUGGGCCAGCUGUAGUAUGGGGGGUGGUCAGCCCUAUUCUUCCCAGGACUUGUGGGAGGAUAUUGUGAGCACCUAGAUACUCCGAACCAAGGCAAGCCUCACAGCGUGGGAGAAAGCCGUAGUUGUAACUGUAGGAUGGCAUGACGGGUGGGCUCCCUGCCUGCCUUCAUGCCUUCCCGUCCUUU